rnacentral:misc_RNA from 1 species
AGUAAGUUAUUGCCAGGGUUUUUAUUUUGUAAUUUAAACCUUAAAUUUAUUUUUUAUAUUUUUUUAAUGUUUAUGUUUUUGAAUGUUUUAUUCAAAUAAUGUAAAAAAUAAAAUAGAUAUUGACAUGGAUUGAACAAAAGAUAUAUAUUAUUUUAUGUUGCAUAAACAAAUUGGCAAAAUAGAGAUGGAAGAUAAAAAUAUGGUCAAAGUAAUAAGAGU